rnacentral:rRNA from 1 species
UACAGAGGUCUUGAGCGUUAGGCGGAAUCACUGGGCUUAAAGCGUGUGUAGGCGGAUCGUUAAGUACCUUGUGAAAUCCCACGGCUCAACCGUGGAACUGCUGGGUAUACUGGUUGUCUUGAGCCAGCUAGGGGCGAGCGGAACAGACGGUGGAGCGGUGAAAUGCGUAGAUAUCGUCUGGAACGCCGAAGGUGAAAACAGCUCGCUGGGGCUGCGCUGACGCUGAGACACGAAAGCCAGGGGAGCGAACGGG